CUUGGUCAUUUAGAGGAAGUAAAAGUCGUAACAAGGUUUCCGUAGGUGAACCUGCGGAAGGAUCAUUACUAGAGCAAAGGAUAGACAGCGCCCGCGGAGCUUGCUCCCUGGGGCUACCCUACUUCGGUAGGGUUUAGAGUCGUCGGGCCUCUCGCAGAAGCUCGGUCCUGAACUCCACCCUUGAAUAAAUUACCUUUGUUGCUUUGGCGGGCCGCCUCGUGCCAGCGGCUUCGGCUGUUGCGUGCCCGCCAGAGGACCACAACUCUUGUUUUUAGUGAUGUCUGAGUACUAUAUAAUAGUUAAAACUUUCAACAACGGAUCUCUUGGUUCUGGCAUCGAUGAAGAACGCAGCGAAAUGCGAUAAGUAAUGUGAAUUGCAGAAUUCAGUGAAUCAUCGAAUCUUUGAACGCACAUUGCGCCCUCUGGUAUUCCGGGGGGCAUGCCUGUUCGAGCGUCAUUAUAACCACUCAAGCUCUCGCUUGGUAUUGGGGUUCGCGGUCUCGCGGCCCCUAAAAUCAGUGGCGGUGCCUGUCGGCUCUACGCGUAGUAAUACUCCUCGCGAUUGAGUCCGGUAGGUUUACUUGCCAGCAACCCCUAAUUUUUACAGGUUGACCUCGGAUCAGGUAGGGAUACCCGCUGAACUUAAGCAUAUCAAUAAGCGGAGGAAAAGAAACCAACAGGGAUUACCUCAGUAACGGCGAGUGAAGCGGUAACAGCUCAAAUUUGAAAGCUGGCUCUUUUAGGGUCCGCGUUGUAAUUUGUAGAAGAUGCUUCGGGUGUAGCUCCGGUCUAAGUUCCUUGGAACAGGACGUCAUAGAGGGUGAGAAUCCCGUAUGUGACUGGGUGCUUUCGCUCAUGUGAAGCUCUUUCGACGAGUCGAGUUGUUUGGGAAU
rnacentral:sRNA from 1 species